rnacentral:tRNA from 1 species
GGAGGGAUGGCCGAGUCCGGCUGAAGGCACACGCCUGGAGAGCGUGUGUACCCGCAAGGGUACCGUGGGUUCGAAUCCCACUCCCUCCG